rnacentral:rRNA from 1 species
CAGAGGGCGCGAGCGUUGUCCGGAAUCACUGGGCGUAAAGGGCGCGUAGGUGGCCAGCAUAAGGCCGCGGUGAAAGUCCGGAGCUCAACUCCGGAUCUGCCGCGGCGACUGUGCGGCUUGGGCACUGUAGAGGCAGACGGAAUUCCGGGUGUAGCGGUGGAAUGCGUAGAGAUCCGGAAGAACACCGGUGGCGAAGGCGGUCUGCUGGGCAGUGAACCGCAAGGUUCAAUAGCCGAUACUGAGGCGCGACAGCGUGGGGAGCAAACAGGAUUAGAUACCCUGGUAGUCCACGCCGUAAACGAUGGGCACUAGGUGCUCCGGGGAGCGACCCUUGGAGUACCGGCGCUAACGCAUGAAGUGCCCCGCCUGGGGAGUACGGCCGCAAGGCUG